GCAAGUCGAGCGGUAACAGGAAGUAUCUUGCUACUUCGCUGACGAUCGGCGUACGGGUGAGUAAUGCCUAGGAAAUUGCCCUGAUGUGGGGGAUAACCAUUGGAAACGAUGGCUAAUACCGCAUAAUGCCUUCGGGCCAAAGAGGGGGACCUUCGGGCCUCUCGCGUCAGGAUAUGCCUAGGUGGGAUUAGCUAGUUGGUGAGGUAAUGGCUCACCAAGGCGACGAUCCCUAGCUGGUCUGAGAGGAUGAUC
rnacentral:rRNA from 1 species